rnacentral:rRNA from 1 species
GCUUUAUAUUAAUAUAAAAUUAAUUUAUAAAAUAUUUGAUUGGGGCGAUCGAUGAUUAUAUUAAACAUCAUUUGAUUAUUAUGAUUUAUAAAUCUUAUAAAGACCCUUUAUUAGAUCAGAAGAUUAAGU